rnacentral:rRNA from 1 species
UAGGGAAUCUUCCACAAUGGGCGAAAGCCUGAUGGAGCAACGCCGCGUGUGUGAUGAAGGUUUUCGGAUCGUAAAGCUCUGUUGUUAGAGAAGAACACGAGUGAGAGUAACUGUUCAUUCGAUGACGGUAUCUAACCAGCAAGUCACGGCUAACUACGUGCCAG